CAGCCGCCGCGGGAACACGAGGGGGGCAAGCGUUGUUCGGAAUUAUUGGGCGUAAGGGGUGCGUAGGCGGUUUGGCAAGUUUGGUGUGAAAUCUUCGGGCUCAACUCGAAGUCUGCAUUGGAAACUGCCGGGCUUGAGUGUGGUAGAGGAUAGUGGAAUUUCCGGUGUAGCAGUGAAAUGCGUAGAGAUCGGAAGGAACAUCUGUGGCGAAGGCGACUAUCUGGGCCAACACUGACACUGAGGCACGAAAGCGUGGGGAGCAAACAGGAUUAGAUACCCCCGUAGUCCCUGUCUCUUAUAC
rnacentral:rRNA from 1 species